GCUGUUAUAGCCACUUUAUUUUUAAAAGAACGUGUACGAGCACAGGACCUGUUUGGUAUCCUUAUAGCGAUUGCCGGAGCCUUUCUCAUCAUUUCGUUUUCAUCAUCAGGGUCAGAGGUUGCUCUUAAUGCCAGGAUGAUUAUAGAGCUUCUCAAGAACUGGGAAUUCAUUGUCUAUGCAGUUCUAGAAAUUUUACUUAUAAUAGGUUUACUUAUUGCAAUAUUUGUAUACGACCAGCUACACGUCGUAAUUAUACUAUUAGUGUGUUCGUCACUUGCAUCAUUUACAGUAAUCACGGCCAAGGCAGCGAGUGGGAUGCUGACUGUUACG